rnacentral:rRNA from 1 species
GACGAACGCUGGCGGCGUGCUUAACACAUGCAAGUCGAACGGAAAGGCCCUGCUUUUGUGGGGUGCUCGAGUGGCGAACGGGUGAGUAACACGUGAGUAACCUGCCCUUGACUUUGGGAUAACUUCAGGAAACUGGGGCUAAUACCGGAUAGGAGCCCCUGCUGCAUGGUGGGGGUUGGAAAGUUUCGGCGGUUGGGGAUGGACUCGCGGCUUAUCAGCUUGUUGGUGGGGUAGUGGCUUACCAAGGCUUUGACGGGUAGCCGGCCUGAGAGGGUGACCGGCCACAUUGGGACUGAGAGACGGCCCAGACUCCUACGGGAGGCAGCAGUGGGGAGUAUUGCACAAUGGGCGGAAGCCUGAUGCAGCAACGCCGCGUGCGGGAUGACGGCCUGCGGGUUGUAAACCGCUUUCGCCUGUGACGAAGCGUGAGUGACGGUAAUGGGUAAAGAAGCACCGGCUAACUACGUG